rnacentral:rRNA from 1 species
UACGGAGGGGGCAAGCGUUGUUCGGAAUUACUGGGCGUAAAGGGCUCGUAGGCGGCCAACUAAGUCAGACGUGAAAUCCCUCGGCUUAACCGGGGAACUGCGUCUGAUACUGGAUGGCUUGAGUUUGGGAGAGGGAUGCGGAAUUCCAGGUGUAGCGGUGAAAUGCGUAGAUAUCGGAAGGAACGCCGGUGGCGAAAGCGAUCCGCUGGACCUCCUCUGACGCUGAGGCGCGAAAGCCAGGGGAGCAAACGGG